rnacentral:lncRNA from 1 species
UUGGAAUUCUAUCCCUAGCAAAAAGAACUACCAAGAUUGACAAGGAAACAAAGGCAUUUUCAGGAAGGCUGUGGAGUGAGAUAAAGCAGGAUUGCACCAUGGAGGACAAACAUCUCGGCAUCCAGUACACUUCAAAAUGUUUCUUUUUUUUUGUUUUCAAGACUGGCUGCUAUUUCCUCCAUGCCUCUUGUUUAUUAGCGUGUUGACUCAUCUAGAGCCCAGCGCCUUGUUCCACACCAGAGAGAUGGACUUGUGCCUCUGCCAAGUGGAGUCGGCUCGAGAGAUAACAGCCAGCCACAACAAUGGUCUUCCUCAGUCCCUCGGCCAAAAAGACCUUUGGCACAGUGAGCUGAGAAUGACUCAUCCCCAGUGCCCUGGAAGGCUCCGAAGUUCUGGGAGCACGGAGUGGUUGUUUGCCAGACAGAGAUAACAGGCAGGAUGCCGCAGAGAGCCAGACGUGCUCCGAACUCAGGGCCCCACCUGGCAGACGCAGAAAAGGAAAAAGGGAUGAAGCAGCCAGUUAGCACAUGGUUUCCCGGUUGCCCAGUCCAUGCCGUCAACACCAUCCAACAUUCUGAGGUUUGCCAAAAGGAUCUCGUUUACUCCUGGGUCACGUAAAGAGUACUUAACUUUUCCCCCCACUCCUUGCCGUCGUCUUAAGAGUACUUAACUUUUUUAAAAAGACUAAUGCAAUCAACUCAUCUUGAAGAGUUUGCUCACUUUCCAUUGCCCUUGGAAAAAAAAAAUGCAUGAUUAUCUGACAGGAUGAGGGUUUGAUUGUCACAUAAGUCAUUCUCUCGAUGGUUGACACAUCCUUGACUCUCAAAGGAUGGCGUUGAUAACCUAGAGAGGCAACUGAGAAUAGCCUAGGACUGGACCUGCUUGUUCUGAGCUGCCUAAAGAGCCUCUGAAACUAGUGUUAACUGUUCCACUCACUAACCUUGCCUUUAUGAGGUAGGAGGUGGGACUCAACUCUGGAGACGGGGCUCAGACACUGGACCAAAUUAAGGACUAGCUACAACAGGACCAGGGUGGAAGCAGCUUUCCAUAAGGCGUGCCCACCAGUGUGCCAUGUCAGUUUACCAUUGCCAUGUCAACACCCGGGCGUUAUCGCUCCUUUCCAUGGCAAUGAUCCGAUGACCCAAAAGUUACUAACCCUUUCCUAGAAAUUUCUGCAUAAACCAUCCCUUAGUCUGUAUAUAAUUAAAAGUGGGUAUAAAUACGACUGCAAAGCUGCCCUGAGCUGCUCCUCUCUGCUUAUGGGGUUGCCCAGAUCUGCAGGAGCAGUCAUGGAGGUAUAACACUGCUGCUUCAGUUAAGCUGUUUUUGUCUACCUCCAGCAUGCCCUUGAAUUCUUUCCUGGGCAAAGCCAAGAACCCUCGUGGGCUAAGUCCCACUUUGGGGCUCACCUGCCCUGCACCAUUUAGAUGUAGAGAUGGCUACACUGCUUUGCAGGCUUCUUUAGCCCAAGUCAUUAGAUGCACAGGUAGCCAUCACCUUUGAAAGAUUCUGUUGUAAACUUGUGAUAAAAAUGCCUUUCAUGGUCUCAUAGACAUUUUUUAUAAUAACUAAAAUAGUGAUUGUUUUCAUUACAAGCUCAGUAUUGUACUAUAAAUCACUUAACUGCUGAAGUACAAUGUAAGUCCUGAAUGGCAAUGUCAGUGUUAUUAACCAUUAUUAACUCAAGGACAGUGGGGAGUAAGGAAGAUGAGUUCUGUUUCAUCAUUUUCCAAAGUCACAGAGCUUGUUCUUCAACAGUGACUCAAAGCAAAUGCCAUAGCCUGCUUUGUUAUAAGAAUUUUGAUACAUAGUUAAUAUUUACAUAAUGACUUACAAUUCAACAUGAAAGCUCCCAUGUCAGUACUAAGUAACUUAAUUACACCAUUUAUAAAUACAGUACUGUCGGCCCUCCCUACCCUUAGGCUUCCCACCUGCAGAUUCAACCAACUGUGGAUCAAAAAUAUUCAGAAAAGGCCAGGCGCAGUGGCUCAUGCCUGUAAUCCCAGCACUUUGGGAGGCCGAGGUGAGCGAAUCACGAGGUCAGGAGUUCAAGACCAACCUGGCCUACACGGUGAAACCUUGUCUCUACUAAAAAUACAAAAAUUAGCCUGGCAUGGUGAUGCGUGCCUGUAAUCCCAGCUACUUGGGAGGCUGAGGCAGGAGAAUUUCUUGAACCUGGGAGGUGGAGGUUGCAGUAAGCUGAGAUUGCGCCAUUGCAUUCCAGCCUGGGCGACAGAGCAAGACUCUGUCUGGAGAAGAAAAAAAAUUUCAGAAAAAAACAAUUAAAAAUAACAAUACAACAACAAAUAAUAACACAUAUAAGAAUCAAUGCAGCAUAACAACUAUUUGCGUAGCAUUUAGAUUGUAUUAAGUAUUAAAAGUAAUCUAGAGAUUUUUAAUGGAUAUCAGGAGGAUGUGCAUAGAUUUUAUGCAAAUAUGGUGCCAUUUUCUCUAAGGGAUUUGAACAUCCACAGAUUUUGGUAUCCACUGGAGGUCCUGGAACCAAUCCCCCACCGACACCAAGGGACGGCUAUAUAUUUUUUCCCUUGACCUAACACCUACUCACUUUUGGACAGCAUUAUAAAAUAAUCAGCAUCAUCUCCAGAAGUAUUUAUCAGGCAUCUAUCAUGGUAUUGUAUUAAUUAGGUCAUCUACUGAAAGGCAGAAUGUUCUUCACUUCAGAUUUUACAACACCCUUUUUUCAUAAUACGUGGAUAGGUUUGUUUUUAAAUGUUGGUGACUUAAACCUCCUGAAGAGAGGGACCUCAUCAGAGUGGAAGUCUUACUUCGAUCAAAGCCCGAUCAUACAACCUAUUUUCAGCAUGUUUCUAGCAAGUUAAGGCGAAGCUUAGCUAGAUUGCUUAGGCUUGGGUAAGGACCGCACACUUUGCUUGUAGCGUUCUUAGUCUCUUGGUCUAAGCAAGGCUGUGAUUCACCAUCUGAACUCAAUAGCGCCGUUUCUUGCACUGGGUGGUUUGCUAAAUUCACAUAGAUAACCCAAAGAAAGUUCAAGAUCAGAAAGAGAGAAGAUUGACUUACUUGUUAUGAGGGAAUUUUCAUUCACAGAGCCAUAAAAAUAUAAUCAUGAAUUUUGUGGAUACUGCGUCCUUUGGGCCAGCCAUCUAGGGUACAGAUGGGACGUGAUGCCAUUGUCUAGAAGCCCUAGGGUUGCAGGUGGCUGCUGGCAAAGCGACCCACCAUCCAUCCCUUGCUGCAUCGGGAUCAGGGGCCGUUCCAUGAGCUGCUGCCCUGAGAGGCCUCGGUGUUUCUGUUCUUUGCCACCCGCUUCUGUAUGUGAAUCACUCUGAGUAUUUACAUCCUUUGACAUUAUUCCUGUUUCCCCGUAUUUUCAUGUCCAUUAAGCUGAUACUGUAUAGGCUUGAUGACGGUGUCUUUUUCUCAGUGAUUUUCUCCACACAGUAAAAUGGUGCCCAAUGGGAGAAUAAAGUCUCCUUGCUCCAUAGAAGGCCUGCACUUUACAUGUAUAUAUGAGAAAAAGCUGGUUUCUGUUAGUCUAUAAUGUAUUAAGAUGUGGUUAGUGAAAAACUGCCUUCCAAAAUUCAGUUAAUAUAGAAAAUUAAGUAUUUUUAAAAAUUUUUCAGACUGCUUAUUGUAGAAUGAAAUUGGCCCUUGUCUUAUCUCAGCCACUUUACCCCCAAUCUGGACAUUUUAUUAUAAAUACAGUUCUGCUUUCAGACCAUCAUAUUUUUGGAAAAGAAAAUUGUGUAAGGUAAAAGUGAUUACAUUCAACACAUUUA